UCCUAGAAUUUUAAUCCACAUGUUCAUCUUACCAUCCACUUUGUACUCGAUUGAUUUCUACUCAGAUCCAAUUGGGCCAAUAUUAGUUAAUGGCAUCCCACAACAAUGAUCUAAGCCAUUUGAUCAUAUUAGAGUUGGUAAAAGAUGUCGUGAUCUUUUAACCUAACUCAUAUCAAAUUUGUAAUAAAUAGAUAUUGAUUUAAACUAAAUAGAUCCACCCAUUUUGACUUGUUUAUUAAAGAGGUAUGGUUCAAGUUCUAACAAUAUAAUUUAUUUAAUCCGUCUAAUAUCAAUCAUGUCAGUUGGACCGAGUUCGAACCCAUCAUAUGCAUCCAUUCUCGAACCCAACUAUCAUACUCUACUAUCCAU
rnacentral:lncRNA from 1 species